rnacentral:rRNA from 1 species
GACGAACGCUGGCGGCGUGUUUAACACAUGCAAGUCGAACGCUGAAGCCCUUUCGGGGGUGGAUGAGUGGCGAACGGGUGAGUAACACAUGGGUAAUCUGCCCUGUACUUCGGGAUAAGCCCUGGAAACGGGGUCUAAUACCGGAUAGGACCUGUCCUCGCAUGGGGGUGGGUGGAAAGUUCCGGCGGUAUGGGAUGAGCCCGCGGCCUAUCAGCUUGUUGGUGGGGUGAUGGCCUACCAAGGCGACGACGGGUAGCCGGCCUGAGAGGGUGACCGGUCACACUGGGACUGAGACACGGCCCAGACUCCUACGGGAGGCAGCAGUGGGGAAUCUUGCGCAAUGGGCGAAAGCCUGACGCAGCAACGCCGCGUGGGGGAUGACGGCCUUCGGGUUGUAAACCUCUUUCGGCAUCGACGAAGGCAUCUCUGUGUGGGGUGUUGACGGUAGGUGUAGAAGAAGCACCGGCUAACUACGUGCCAGCCGCCGCUGUAA